AUUGAACGCUGGCGGCAGGCCUAACACAUGCAAGUCGAGCGAGCGUCGCACGGGUGAGUAAUGUAUGGGAAACUGCCUGAAGGAGGGGGAGAACUACUGUAAAAGGUAUCUAAUACCUCAUACCAUCAGAUGUGCCCAGAUGGGAUUAGCUAGGAGGUGGGGUAACGGCUCACCUAGGCGACGAUACCUAGCUGGUCUGAGAGGAUGACCAGCCACACUGGAACUGAGGCACGGUCCAGACACCUACGGGAGGCAGCAGUGGGGAAUAUUGCACAAUGGGCGCAAGCCUGAUGCAGCCAUGCCGCGUGUGUGAAGAAGGCCUUCGGGUUGUAAAGCACUUUCAGCAGGGAGGCGUUACCCGCAGAAGAAGCACCGGCUAACUCCGUGCCAGCAGCCGCGGUAAUUC
rnacentral:rRNA from 1 species